CUCCUAAAGAGUAACGGAGGAGCUCGAAGGUACGCUCAGCGCGGUCGGACAUCGCGCACUGUGUGCAAAGGCAUAAGCGUGCUUGACUGCAAGAUCGACGGAUCAAGCAGGUAGGAAACUAGGACUUAGUGAUCCGGUGGUUCUGUAUGGAAGGGCCAUCGCUCAACGGAUAAAAGGUACUCCGGGGAUAACAGGCUGAUACCGCCCAAGAGUUCAUAUCGACGGCGGUGUUUGGCACCUCGAUGUCGGCUCAUCACAUCCUGGGGCUGUAGUCGGUCCCAAGGGUAUGGCUGUUCGCCAUUUAAAGUGGUACGCGAGCUGGGUUCAGAACGUCGUGAGACAGUUCGGUCCCUAUCUGCCAUGGGCGUUGGAGAUUUGAGAGGGGCUGCUCCUAGUA
rnacentral:rRNA from 1 species